UUAUUACAGAUCAGCAUUGUCAAGAACCAAUGGUGUUCCCUGAAGAAAGAAUACAACAUGGGACACAGGACUCUCAGAAAGGAGCAGUGAUAUCCAACCUUUCUGGCACCCAGAGACAUGAUCAACAGAUCACCUGGUGCCAACUGACUGACCACCAGGAAGAGCGACCAGUGACUUUGGGUUUAAAAGUUAUCUAAUCCACACUCUUUCUCACUCCCCUGACUACCCUCCUCUGCUUUUCCUUCCACAGAUCUCAUGGUCUUUUGUUACAAGGAACCUGUCUCAAGACAGUCAUACUCUGUUAAUUCACUAUAACACUAAG
rnacentral:lncRNA from 1 species